rnacentral:rRNA from 1 species
GAUGAACGCUGGCGGCGUGCCUAAUACAUGCAAGUCGAGCGAACGGACGAGAAGCUUGCUUCUCUGAUGUUAGCGGCGGACGGGUGAGUAACACGUGGAUAACCUACCUAUAAGACUGGGAUAACUUCGGGAAACCGGAGCUAAUACCGGAUAAUAUUUUGAACCGCAUGGUUCAAAAGUAAAAGACGGUCUUGCUGUCACUUAUAGAUGGAUCCGCGCUGCAUUAGCUAGUUGGUAAGGUAACGGCUUACCAAGGCAACGAUGCAUAGCCGACCUGAGAGAGUGAUCGGCCACACUGGAACUGAGACACGGUCCAGACUCCUACGAGAGGCAGCAGUAGGGAAUCUUCCGCAAUGGGCGAAAGCCUGACGGAGCAACGCCGCGUGAGUGAUGACGGUCUUCGGAUCGUAAAACUCUGUUAUUAGGGAAGAACAUAUGUGUAAGUAACUGUGCACAUCUUGACGGUACCUAAUCAGAAAGCCACGGCUAACUACGUG